rnacentral:rRNA from 1 species
GACGAACGCUGGCGGCGUGCUUAACACAUGCAAGUCGAACGGUUAAGCGCCUUCCUUUUUGGGUGCUGUGGAUGCGUGGCGAACGGGUGAGUAACACUUGCCUAACCUGCCCCCUUCUUCUGGAUAACCGCAUUAAAGUUUGUCUAAUACGGGAGAUUCUGCGUCUGGCGCAUGAUGGGUCUGGUAACGAGAUUGUGUCUGUGGGGGAGGUGCUCGGGGCCUUUCAGCUUGUUGGUGGGUUGAUGGCCUACCAAGGCUGGGACGGGUAGAAGGCCUGCGAGGGUUGACGGUCACAGGGGGUCAGAGACACGGCCGAGACUGCUACGGGGGGCAGAAGUGGGGAAUAUUGCACAAUGGGGGAAAGUGUGAUGCAGAGACGACGCGUGAGGAGUGGAGGCGUUCGGGUUGUGAACCUCUUUCGGUAGUGAAGCAGGCCUGCCUCGUUUGUGGGUGGGUUGACGGUAGCUGGAUAAGAAGCGCCGGCUAACUACGUG